AGCCCUGCCUGACGCAAGCGGGAUCGGGAUGCAGCCAGCGGCACGUGGAGGACGACCGUUCUUGAGUGCGGGCGGCGCAGCGCUGGUGGAGUCUUCGUUUGUUGCCCAGGCUGGAGUGUAAUAGCUCAAUCUCAGCUCACCUUGGGCAGCUGACAGACUGAGAGUCCAUCUGAAAACAAACAAACAAAAACCCACACACACAAAACUAACCCAAGGAUGCUUUAACCAGAGGCAAAGCUCCAACCUGGACCCACGCAGCUCACAGUAGCUCCUGCUCAGGCUACACACAGGCCUGCAAUCCACAGAUAAACACAGCUGGAGAGAAAAAGCGGCUGGGAAUGCAGCUGGGCUGUUUUCUCAAGAGAAGCCCAAGUGGACCCCUGGCCACACACCUGGAUGAUCUUCUCCGGGAUGUUGGAGACAGUGAAGCCGUAGAGCCGCACACGCUCUGGGAAGAUGCUGGACAGGAUCCUGCGGUCCAGCUGGAAGGCGAUCUCACCCACCAGCCUCUCCCAGGCCAGCUGCUUUGACUCUGGGGACACAGGGUCUCGUCAGCCCAGGAGCCUGCUUUCCUUGGUCCUGGAGGAGUGCUCCUUUUACUGGCCACUGUUUGGGGGAGAAGCCCCCUGAUCCCCUGGGGGUGCAGCUGCUGGCAGGAGUGGUGGGAGUGCAGAGAAGGUUUUCAGAUGGGAAUCUAACUCUGUCGCCCAAGCUGGUCUCAAACUCCUCAAGCAGUCCUCCUGCCUCAGCUUCCUAAAGUGAUGGGAUUAUAGUUGUGAGCCACCACUCCCAGCCUGGCCUUUUAUGAUUUCUUUUUUUGACUUUUUAGGAAAUUUUGUUUUAGGACCCAGGAGACAAUAAAGCUUGUGGGCCAAAGGCAAGCAGUCCAUGGAGAGGACAGACUUGAAGGAGAGGGAGCACAGAGUGGGGCAGACAGGAGGGAUGGGCUGCAUGUGUGAGGUGGAGGAUAGAGCUCAGAGUGCGGCUAUCUGUCCUGCUUGGCCUCCAUUUCCUUAGAAGAUCCCAGGGUCUGGGUGAUGUGGGAAAGGACCACUUUGGGGCAACAUCUCCAGGAUGGCUGGGGAGAGGCAGUCAGGGGCCACUGUCCCUGCACAGCCAGGGCAGCCUAAGGAGCGCCGGUGGUCCUAAUGUUUGAAGCAGCCAGGUCAGGCGAGAAGACAGGACAAAUGUUUCCUCUUGCCGCCUGCUCUGGGAAGAUGACCGCUGUGGAGGGACCAGCCAGUCAGGGCUGAGAGGGAGCACAGCACUGGACAGGCCAUGGCCUCGUCCCCAGAGGGAAAUGGCCCAGUCUGUUUUUCAACCAAGUUGGAUUCUAGGCAGAACCAUCACGUAGCACACGGAAGGUAACCGAGGGAGCAAUUCACAGAAAGUCUAACACCAAAAUGUAUAAAGCAGAAGCCACGGGGACUCCCAGGAGGCGCUGGAGUGGUAGCUUUGUCAAGGUCCAGGACAGAAGGAACAAUGGUGCAGACACAGAUGGUGGAAUUACAAAGCCAGUCUACUGUCUAAUGUGCUGCUGCACACUGAGAGGGUGGUGUGGCUGCUGUGAGCUGGAUGCUAUUGGUACCCUCUACCCCUCACCCAAAUACAGUAAGUGCUACCCACUUUCUUCCCAUGCUGCCCUCAUCCUGCCAGGAAUGAGGGCUCCAGGGAAGGCCAAGUACAGAUCAGAGACAGAAGCAUGUGGACAGAGUUGAUGGGGGAGGGCAGGCGGGCCUGGGGAGGAGGGCCUGUGAGAGCAGGGGGCAGAUGCCAGGCCUCAGAAAGACUCAUCCUGUUUGUCUGUUAAUGAUAAAACCUGGCACAACAAACCACUGAAAAAUUGUUCAGCAAAUCAUGAAAUGUUCAAAUGUAUAAUAGCUUGAUGUGAAAUCAUUUACAGUACUAUUUGUAAAGAAAAUAUGAGAACACAAUGAAAUGCUUAUAGUAAAUAUUAAAAUUGUAACAUUAAGUGUAGAAAUGUGGAUUAGAAGCUGAGAGUUGCCAGGCGCGGUGUUUCACGCCUGUAAUCCCAGCACGUUGGGAGGCCGAGGCAGGUGGAUCACGAGGUCAGGAGAUCAAGACCACCUUGGCCAACAUGGUGAAACCCCGUCUCUACUAAAAAUACAAAAAAUUAGCCAGGCAUGGUGGUGCGUGCCUGUAGCCCCAGCUACUCAGGAGGCUGGGGCAGAAGAAUUGCUUGAACCCUAGAGGCGGAGGUUGCAGUGAGCCAAGAUCGUGCCAUUGCACUCUAGCCUGGCGACAGAGUGAGGCUCCGUCUAAAAAUAAAUAAAUAAAUAAAUAAAUAAAAGCUGAGAGUUGCAUUCUCCACUCUGAAAAAGAGGUGGGUAAAUACUCCCCAUGGGUCUGGUGGUGACCUUUAAGAGGUAUAUGUGAAUGUCAAGUUAAUUUUUUUCUUCUUUAUAUUUUCGUGUACUUUCUAAAAUUUUCAUAAUAUGUGUAUGUAUUUUAAAAAACAAACUUUAUGAAGAAAAGUGUUUUCUAAAAAAAAAAAAAAAAAAAAAAAAAUGCAUUUCUGCCUGGUUUUGUCUUGAGACCAGGAGGGGCCACAGCCCUGCUCACACUUAGCAAACAAAGCCAGGCCCUUAUAGGCAAGGCUGGUUCAGGGGCGGCCCAGCCUCAUGUGGAGAGGGGUCUGUGCUUCCUUCCCAGCCUGUGCCGUGGAGGCCCGUGCGUGCCCGGUCCUCUUUGUGGCACCUUUGGCUUCCCUGUCCUCCGGCACUUCCUGUACAAUGUGCACCUUCCCAGGAGCCCUCCUGCCUUCCCUGGCCAAUGCUGGGCCUUUGUGGUCAACUGGGCAGGGCCCUGUAAGUAGGCCAACUGCAGAAGAGGGAGGGGAAGAACUCAGAUUGAUAGAAGUAAAGCUUAGGCCCUGAAAAAUAGGAGAUUUUCAAACCCAAGUGUCCUGGCUGCAUCCCGCCAGCACAAAUGCAACCUCAGCUCUUUCACGUAGAGCAGAGAGCCCAAGGACUACCUCCCCAUUAGGAUUCCUUGGCCUCUCCUUCCUUUUCAGAUGGGAUUUGCCUGCCAGUGCUGAACAGUGAUGUGGUCCCCUCUCCCAAGUCCCUGUGCCUCUGCUGGUGGUGAUUCCCAACAUAUUUCAGCAUGGACUGAGAAAAGCCAAUGUUAGCAUAAAACCAAACCCCAGAUGAGGCACUGGACACGCAAAGUCACUGAGGCCAGUGCAUGCCACCCACACCAGUCUGCAGGGCCAGUCACAUCUGCUUUCACUGCCCAUGGAAUUGUGAGUUGAAAAUCUUAGGCUCCAGUACAAGCACCUUGAAAAGAACUUGAAGAGAACAUUGAAGAGGACUUCAGAUUCACUGCGUUUAUAUGAUUAUUUAAUUAUUUAGGUCUCUCAGCAAGUCCCCACUUCCCUCCCCACUCUCUUGGGACCGAGGCCUCUUACCAUUAUUCUGGCGUGAGGGAAGACCUGCUGUUGCCUCACCAAGCCCACUCAUGAACCCGCUGAUGCCGAGCCCGCCUGCCUGAGUCUUGAUUGCUGACUUGAGCUCGUGAUUCUCCCGAAUGAGCCGCACCAGCUUCUUCAGUUCCCCAUUUUCCCGCAUCAGCCUCUCUAUCUGAUGCCGAAGCCCCUCAUAAUUGACAUGGGGUCUUACCACAUUGCCCAGGCAGGCCUCAAACUCUUGGGCUCAAGCAAUCCUCCUGCCUCAGCCUCCCAAAGUGCUUGAGAUUACAGGUGUGAGCUACUGUGCCUGGCAGAAGAACUUAAGAGUGAAAAAAACCUGAAGUUUUCUGGAAAAUAAGGAAUUCUGCCUGAAGAUUGUGGCACAGAAAUCCCGCCUGAGUUUCCAGCCUGCCUUGCAGAUUUUGGACCUGCCAGCCUCCACAAUUCUGUGACCAAGCCCUUAAAAUAAACCUCCUAACAUAAAAG